rnacentral:rRNA from 1 species
AGCAGCCGCGGUAAUUCCAGCUCCAAUAGCGUAUAUUAAAGUUGUUGCGGUUAAAAAGCUCGUAGUUGAACUUCGGGGUUUACCCAUUGGUCAGGCUUAAUUGUCUGCACAGGUGAGAUGAAUCUCUACCUUCUGAGGAACUUUCAUGCCAUUUAUUUGGUGUGAUGGGAAAUCAAGACUGUUACUUUGAAAAAAUUAGAGUGUUUAAAGCAGGCUAACGUCUGAAUACAUUAGCAUGGAAUAAUGAAAUAGGACGGACUGAUUCUAUUUCGUUGGUUUCUAGGAUCACCGUAAUGAUUAAUAGGGAUAGUUGGGGGCAUUAGUAUUCAAUUGUCAGAGGUGAGAUUCUUGGAUUUAUUGAAGACUAACCACUGCGAAAGCAUUUGCCAAGGAUGUUUUCAUUAAUCAAGAACGAAAGUUAGGGGAUCGAAGACGAUCAGAUACCGUCGUAGUCUUAACCAUAAACUAUGCCGACUAGGGAUCGGACGAAGUUAAUUUUAUAAUGACGCGUUCGGCGCCUUACG